UACGUAGGGGGCAAGCGUUGUCCGGAUUUAUUGGGCGUAAAGAGCGUGUAGGCGGUUUGGUAGGUCCGUUGUGAAAACUCGAGGCUCAACCUCGAGACGCCGAUGGAAACCAUCAGACUAGAGUCCGGAAGAGGAGAGUGGAAUUCCUGGUGUAGCGGUGAAAUGCGCAGAUAUCAGGAGGAACACCAAUGGCGAAGGCAGCUCGCUGGGACGGUACUGACGCUGAGACGCGAAAGCGUGGGGAGCAAACAGG
rnacentral:rRNA from 1 species